rnacentral:rRNA from 1 species
UACAGAGGUCUCAAGCGUUGUUCGGAUUCAUUGGGCGUAAAGGGUGCGUAGGCGGCGCGGUAAGUCGGGUGUGAAAUCUCCAGGCUCAACUUGGAGACGCCACCCGAUACUGCUCUGACUUGAGUUCGGUAGGGGAGUGGGGAAUUCCUGGUGUAGGCGGUGAAAUGCGCAGAUAAUCAGGAGGAACACCGGUGGCGAAGGCGGCUCUCUGGACCGGUACUGACGCUGAGACGCGAAAGCCAGGGGAGCAAACGGG